UACGGGGGGGCAAGCGUUGUUCGGAAUUACUGGGCGUAAAGGGCGCGUAGGCGGCCUGCUAAGUCACACGUGAAAUCCCUCGGCUCAACCGGGGAACUGCGUGUGAUACUGGCGGGCUUGAAUUCGGGAGAGGGAUGUGGAAUUCCAGGUGUAGCGGUGAAAAUGCGUAGAUAUCUGGAGGAACACCGAUGGCGAAGGCAGCUCGCUGGGACGGUACGUGACGCUGAGGCGCGAA
rnacentral:rRNA from 1 species